AUACAGAGGGUGCGAGCGUUAAUCGGAAUUACUGGGCGUAAAGCGCGCGUAGGCGGCUACUUAAGUCAGAUGUGAAAUCCCCGGGCUCAACCUGGGAACUGCAUCUGAUACUGGGUAGCUAGAGUUUUGGAGAGGGAAGUAGAAUUUCAGGUGUAGCGGUGAAAUGCAUAGAGAUCUGAAGGAAUACCAGUGGCGAAGGCGACUUCCUGGCCAAAAACUGACGCUGAGGUGCGAAAGCGUGGGUAGCAAACGGGAUUAGAUACCCUAGUAGUCC
rnacentral:rRNA from 1 species